rnacentral:lncRNA from 1 species
CCCGCUAACAUGUUUAACCCCACCACAGUAUUUAAGUAUGUGCCUGUCCCAAGUCAGGAGCCUGUAAUUCAGUGGUUGUCGUUUGUUUAUGUGUUACAUAUUUGUUUUUCGUGCAUUUUUUUAUAUAAAUAAGGCCGUUAGUUUUCUCGUUUGAAUUGUUUUACAUUGUCUUAUCGGGGACUUUUAUAGCUGACUAUGCGGUAUGGGCUUUGCUCAUUGUUGAAGGCCGUACGGUGACCUAUAGUUGUUAAUGUCUGUGUCAUUUUGGUCUCUUGUGGACAGUUGUCUCAUUGGCAAUCAUACCACAUCUUCUUUUUUAUAU